UACGUAGGGUGCAAGCGUUGUCCGGAAUUAUUGGGCGUAAAGAGCUCGUAGGCGGUCUGUCGCGUCGGCUGUGAAAACCCGGGGCUCAACCCCGGGCCUGCAGUCGAUACGGGCAGACUAGAGUGCGGUAGGGGAGACUGGAAUUCCUGGUGUAGCGGUGAAAUGCGCAGAUAUCAGGAGGAACACCGGAGGCGAAGGCGGGUCUCUGGGCCGUAACUGACGCUGAGGAGCGAAAGCGUGGGGAGCGAACAGG
rnacentral:rRNA from 1 species